GAGAAAUAGAACAUCAUUGGGCUAGUGGCUCUAGUGCGCUGUAUGAAGCUUUACUUAUUUGCUAUAUUGAAAAUGUUUGUAUGUUUGCCACCUGUAUUGACCCAUAUGUGUGAGCAAUAUUGUGUGCUGCACAUAAUUACCAUGUAUAAGAUCAAUAACUGCUCAAACCUGAAAUAACAAACUAACUCCAAACAAGAUACCCAGAUUUUGGAAUGUAUCCCACUCACCACUCCUUAAUAGACAAUACAACAUUAUAUAUCCUAAAACAGAUUCUAUAUGUGACUGUUCAAUCAUGCCAUGUACAAAAGAGGCCUAGGAACUGUCUGAAUUUCAAAGAGGCCGUAUUGUGGGUCAUUCUGAAGGUGGAUAUAGUCAGCAUAAAAUCGCAGAAAACCUUGGGAUCCCACCUUCUAUAGUUAAUAGUGGUUGUGCAAUUCACCAGAGAGGGGAGGGACUCCACAUCACCUUGCCCAGAUAACCAGGGCCCUCUGACUGGACCUUUAUCUUUGCUAAGAGAAGUGUGGAGGACAAUCCUCAUUGUAAGAUCUCUGACAUAGCAGAGCAAGUUGAUGUCAGUCCCAGAAUAGCUGUCAGAUAUCUCCACAAAUUUGGUAACUAUGGCAGACCAAGAAGAAGGAAGCCACAUCUUUGAGCAGCCAAUAAGAAGUGGAGGAAUGAUUGAGCCAGUGAGAUUGCGGCAAAGCCAUUAGCAUUUUGGGACACUGUCAUAAUCUCUGAGGAGUCCAGAUUUGCUGUAUUUCCUAACAGUGGUCUAGUGUGGGUCUGGAGACUCUGUGAUCAAGAAAUUGAUGCCAAAAGAUUGCAACCAGCAAUGAAACACAGCAACUAUUCUGUGAUGGUUUGGGGAACCAUUUGGAGCAAUGGUUGAUCAGAGCUGGAGUGUGAGGGAAAGAUGAACUCAAAUAUGUGUCCAUAUUGCAGAAAGGACAAGUUCCAAAUUCUCCAAUGGUGAAAUGAUUAAAGAAGGCUCUCUAUUUAUGGAAGAUAGGACUCCUUGUCACACGGUUAAAAUGACCCAAGAUUUGUUGGAAAAGAAAUCUUCCAUACCUAAGCCAGUCACCAGAUAUGAACCCCAUAGAAUAUCUCUGGGGCAUAAACAACAGGACAUUUCAUAAACAGAACAAGAAAGCAUCUUUAAAGCCAGAUCUUUUGAGAUUAUUGCAUGAAACUUAGAAAGAAAUUCUAAAAGAGAAUUUUCACCAUCUGAUCAGUAACAUGCCUAAUACGGCCCUUGCAUUGAAAAAUGCAAAAAGCAAGUCUACUAAAUAUUGAAUGUUCACAUUAUAACAACUAACAAAUAAUUCGAAUGUAUAAUUUCAGAUUCAAAUAAAUUUUAAUGAUUA